rnacentral:rRNA from 1 species
UACGUAGGGAGCAAGCGUUGUCCGGAAUCAUUGGGCGUAAAGCGCGCGUAGGCGGCCCCGUAAGUCCGCUGUGAAAGUCAAAGGCUCAACCUUUGAAAGCCGGUGGAUACUGUGGGGCUAGAGUCCGGAAGAGGCGAGUGGAAUUCCUGGUGUAGCGGUGGAAUGCGCAGAUAUCAGGAGGAACACCAAUAGCGAAGGCAGCUCGCUGGACGGUACUGACGCUAAGGCGCGAAGCGUGGGAGCGAACGAGGA